rnacentral:rRNA from 1 species
GACGAACGCUGGCGGCGUGCCUAAUACAUGCAAGUCGAACGAGAGCGCCCGGUGCUUGCACUGCUCACUCUAGUGGCGAACGGGUGAGUAACACGUGGGUAACCUGCCCAUCAGAGUGGGAUAACAUCCGGAAACGGAUGCUAAAACCGCAUAAGUCUUCGAACCGCAUGGUUUGAUGAGGAAAAGCGGCGCAAGCUUCUGCUGUUGGUUGGUCCCGCGGUGCAUUAGCUAGUUGGUGAGGUAACGGCUCACCAAGGCCGUGAUGCAUAGCCGACCUGAGAGGGUGAUCGGCCACAUUGGAACUGAGAAACGGCCCAAACUCCUACGGGAGGCAGCAGUAGGGAAUCUUCCGCAAUGGACGAAAGUCUGACGGAGCAACGCCGCGUGAGUGAAGAAGGUGUUCGGAUCGUAAAACUCUGUUGUUAGGGAAGAACAAGUGCUAGAGUAACUGUUAGCGCCUUGACGGUAUCUAACCAGAAAGCCACGGCUAACUACGUG